CAGAACGAACGCUGGCGGCGCGCUUAACACAUGCAAGUCGAGCGAGAACCGAGCAUUUGGUCUCGGGGACAGCGGCGAAUGGUGUGAGUAACACGUGAGUAAUCCACCCUUCGCACUGGAAUAGCCCGGGGUAAUUCGGAUUAAUGCCCGAUGGCCCGACAGCCUCUCGGGGCGGUCGGAAAAGAUAGCUUUGGCCCUCGGCCAAGGACGAGCUCGCGGCGGAUUAGCUUCUUGGCGGGGUAACGGCCCACCAAGGGGACGAUCCGUAGCUGGUCUGAGAGGAUGAUCAGCCACACUGGGAUUGUGUCACGGCCCAGAGUCCUACGGGAGGCAGC
rnacentral:rRNA from 1 species